CGGUUCGGAGAGAAAAGUGUUUUUUUUUGGUUAAAGUGGAAGAACUUUGACUGGAAAUACAAAUGUGGAUGUGAAGUUUGGAUUAAGAUAGUUUAUCUGGUACAAUAACAUUGAAUUACCCGUAAAAGUGGUUAAAUUUCACUUUUUUUUUUGCGUUUUAGUGAAUAUUGACGGAAAUUUCGGGCCUUCUGGUGUCACCGCCGGUAAAGUUUGGUAAGUUUCCAUAAAAAAUCACUCUUUUUUACCGUAAUUUUGUAACUUUUAUUGGUCUUUUUUAGCUGUAUGAGUAUUAAAGUCACUGUUUAAAGACAGGCCAGCUGAAAAAGUUGCCUCCUGAUUCAAGAGAAUUUCCUAGAAACUCCAUUUGCAGUCAUUUUAUAUUUAAUAGUCAUUUGUAUUUGACACAGGGGAGAGUUGGGUAAGUUGAUCCACCCCCUGUUGUUUGGAAAUGGUCAAAGAAAUUGAUCAUAAGACCAAAUAUUGAGGAGAUGGUCAUCAAUUCAUGGAGUCUGUGAAGGUUAGAAGCUCAUGGGUGAAGAAGAGGUUAGACAUUUAUUUAUAAAACAACAUUUUUCUUCACUCUGUAAAGUGAAUUUAGUCUGUUAGAAGUUUGAUUAGAAUUGUGUUCAGACCAAAAAAGAUCAUUUUAAAUGUGUUUUAUACAUCAACUGUGGUAUUUAUGACAUAAAAGUCCACCAUUUUAUCUCAGAGGACUAAUAAAGUCAUCAUAGUAGUUCAGGGGGAGCAGAGAAAGUAAAGGAGUCAGAGGAGAGGAUCAGAGUUUACCUUCAGAUUAAUGAAAUGUUUGACUUUUUCUUUUUAAAAAUACAGAUCUGUGAAUGUUCUCAAUCACUUAAAGACAUUCUCAUGUGACCAUAGGAGACCACUUUUUUUUGUCCUGCUAUAUUCUGAAGAUGACAGUUCUGUUUACACUCAUUCUGUUGGUUUGCAGGGAUGAACAACAUCCUGAAAUAUCUACAGAGACACGAGUUAAAGACUAAACUAGGAUUGACUUGAUAUAGUGAUCUGAAAUAUGAAAAAUGGAUCACCUUACCCCAUUCUCACCCAUAAACAACAAGGCAAAGAAGAUUUUUCAUUAAUUAGAGCCAGGAUAAUGAAACACUAACUUAAACAUGAUAUGGAUUACGUGGAUUAAAUGGAAUUUCCCUCAGUGGGACCAAUAAAGGUAUAUCUUGUCUUAUCUUAUCUUAGUUGAAAGCAUAGUUUUAAAGUGAAAAUGAUAGAGGAGUCGUCAUUAAGUCUACUUGGCUUAAUUUUAUUUCAUUUAUUUUGCUCUUUGAGCCUUUUAAGGACCAUCUUCUCCUCUAAAUCCUCUAAUAUGACUGAAACACUUUUUAUUUAUCUAAUCGUGGAGGCCCAGAUGAAGUGAGCUGUCAGGUUAGAGCGCCACAUUAUAAACGUAAUAACAGUUUAAGGAUAUAAUCCAUCACUGCUGUUCUGUGUCAGAUCAAGCAGAAGAGAAAGGAGGAAAAAAAAAGAGAGGAUCCGUCUGCGUGGGUCAUCGUUUUUCACCGCAUUAGGAGACAAAUAAUUGGUCAUUCAUCAAUAGCAAAUAGACCAAAGCAGAAAUGACUGAUCGCCGUUACAACAAAAAUUGGGAUGAUGAUGGAGCUGUGUGGUCAGCGGAGCAGAGAGGAGAGCGGACAGAGGGAAGGAGGGAGGGGAGGAGGAAAUAGGAAACAGGAGGAGGACGAGAAGGGAAGAAGGGAUGCUGGGUAUGAAGGAAGAAGUUAAAGACACUCAGGGUUUUCCUGCUCCGGGUUUCAAUAACGGAAUAAAUGUAAUUUUCCCAAAAAAAGUAUUAUUCUGCAGAUGGAGAAGUUUAAUCUGAUUCUCCUCACAGCGUCUCAGCAGUGCAGAGAGACAGAAAACAGAUCUGUGACCUUCUAGAGUCCUCCUCAUCUUUGAUUCUAGUUAAAACUUGUGCAUAUGGUUCUAUUUUCAACAUUUAUUACAUCCAGUUUUUAAGUCUGAGAGGAUUAACUUUUCCAGAGUCUGAGGAUCCCUCUGACGGCCUCCACGUUUGUCACUGCAGUGUUCGUUAUUUUUUAAUAGUACAGAAAAGAAACAAGUGUAGGUUUGAGGAUAAAGUUUUCACUUAAUAGAUGAACUCAUCUUUUAUUUUAGGAAACUUGUCUCCACUCCUAAAGCGCUGGAUUCUCUUGAACAUAUUCCCCAGUAUUUGUCGUUUGUUUCUCCUCCUCUUGUUCGGUCCGUCUGCUCGGACAUUGACCACCUUUCCGGUCGUGAUGGAUCGCCUCAACCUGAUAAUCCUGCACAGUUGCAGGAUGCGAACUCGCUACAAUCCUGGUAUUGAUCUCUGGUGAAACACAGAUCCUCAGUCUGAUUACCUCCUCGCUGAGACUGACGGAGCCUUUUCUGUCUGCAGCUAUCAGAGCUCGUCCUCAGGGAUUGUUCUGGAGGAGGUUUGAGGUUCAAACCAGGUCAAAAAUAAGAAGUUAACUUACCCCAUACUUUCUAAAACCUGAACUGAACAGCCUCUGACACGGAUUAAAGUUACAUUUAUGAAGUUUUCUCAGGAUCAUGCCGCAUGAGCAUGUUGUGAGAUCAGUUCUAGCAGCAAACAGUUUUUUUUUUCAUAAUCAUAAAUAUCAAACAUUUAAAACUCAAAGCAAAGCUGCACAGUUUUAAAAUGAUUUAAUUUAACAAGUUUAGCAAAUAUUUUUCUCCACAGGUUUCCUGCUCUGUGGCUGCUGAUGGACAGGAGUGAUGUGUGGCGUCUUCAUGGCGUGGGGAUCAAUCGUGUGGGUUGUAUGUAAGUAAAGUGACGAUCCCGCUCUCUGCAAAACACACAAACAAGAUAAAACAAAAGAUCCAAUCGGUUCUUCAGUUAAAGGGGAAAAAAUGUAAAAUGUUCAUGCAGGGUCAGUGUCACACUGUCUUUCUCCUUCUCCUCAAUCCUUGUCUCCUCUGUCCUAGCCUAGGUGUAAUGCACUCUCCCUUAGAGAUCUCGCCCUCUCUCGUCUCAUCUACUCUCCUCUGUCCUUGCCUCCUCUGUCCUGUGUUCCUCCUUAAAGAUCAUGCCCUCUUCCCUUUCCUCUCCUCUAUCCUUGUCUCCUCUGUCCUUGCCUAGGUGUCAUGCAGACUUCCUCAGAGAUCUCGCCCUCUCCCAUCUCAUCACCUCUCCUCUGUCCUGUGUUUUUCCUCAGAGAUCUAGCCUUCUAUCCCCUUUCCUCCAUCCUUGUCUCCUCUGUCCUUGGCUCCUCUGUCCUGUGUUUUUCCUCAGAGAUCUAGCCUUCUAUCCCCUUUCCUCCAUCCUUGUCUCCUCUGUCCUUGGCUCCUCUGUCCUGUGUUUUUCCUCAGAGAUCUAGCCUUCUAUCUCCUCAACUCUUUCCUUGUCUCCUCUGUCCUUGUCUCCUCUGUCCUUGCCUAGGUGUCAUGCAGACUUCCUCAGAGAUCUCGCCCUCUUCCCUCUCUUCUCCUCUAUCCUUGUCUCCUCUGUCCUGGCCUAGGUGUCGUGCAGACUUCCUCAGAGUUCUCACCCUCUCCCGUCUCAUCACCUCUCCUCGGUCCUUGGCUCCUCUGUCCUGUGUUCCUCCUUAAAGAUCAUGCCCUCUUCCCUUUCCUCUCCUCUAUCCUUGUCUCCUCUGUCCUUGCCUAGGUGUCAUGCAGACUUCCUCAGAGAUCUCGCCCUCUCCCAUCUCAUCACCUCUCCUCUGUCCUGUGUUUUUCCUCAGAGAUCUAGCCUUCUAUCUCCUCAACUCUUUCCUUGUCUCCUCUUACCUUGUCUCCUCUGUCCUUGCCUAGGUGUCAUGCAGACUUCCUCAGAGAUCUCGCCCUCUUCCCUCUCUUCUCCUCUAUCCUUGUCUCCUCUGUCCUUGCCUAGGUGUCGUGCAGACUUCCUCAGAGUUCUCACCCUCUCCCGUCUCAUCACCUCUCCUCGGUCCUGUGUUCUUCCUCAGAGAUCUCACCCUCUAUUUCCUCUCCUCUCUCCUUGCCUCCUCUGUCCUUGCCUAGGUGUCAUGCAGACUUCCUCAGAGAUCUCGCCCUCUCCCGUCUCGUCUCCUCUCCUCUGUGACUCCUCUGAUUCGGCUCACUCUCUCCUUCCUGAGUAAUUGAAGUAAUUUCCCACCUUGGCUAUGAUGAAUGUGUCCCGCGCUCUCGCCGUGCCCUUCUACUUUAGCCGGCCUAAUUAAAGAAAACAUUUCAUGAUUGCCUAUUUUUCCUCGAGCGUGACAACCUAUUAUUCUGCCCAGCACCUGAUUAGAGACUUAUUAUGCUUAGAUUUAGAUUGAUUUAACCGGGCAGCCUAAUAAAAGACUACUUGGGCUUUGAAUUGCAGGUUUUGGAGCCGGUCACGGUGUGAAAUUGUUAUUACUGCUUCAUGAUUCGGUUCUGUGGCAGGGAGGGGAAGGGAGGGGACUUCUUCUCCAAAUUGAAUUAGAAAAUUAGAAGGUCAGUGGGCGUACAACAGGUGACAUUUUGGGACGUCCUCGCUGCAAUAGAGCUGUCAGGAGGAGGGACAAUCGGGCGCAGAUUUGUCCGCAAUGAUAAAUCACAUCCAUCAGCGGCUGCAGAAAGUGACAUAUUUCUAUCAAAGCAAGAUUAAUCUCUCUAUCAGACGCAGCAACGCGCCUCAUAAUCAUCUGCGAAGACUGGAUGCAAAAUGGGUAAAGUGACUGUUUGUGUUUUGCUGCGGAGUUUCUGACAUCCUGAUAAAAACUGAAUGAGAAGAUAAAGACGCUCAGAGCAGCAGCUGGAGUCCCACGUCUUAAAGCUCUGACUAAUUGUCGUCAAUGAAUUCUUUGAUGAAUGCAGGAGAAAGUCCGUGUUAAAUUUUUCUUAUUUUACCGAAUUGAAACUCUGCCACUAGAUUUUUAGAGCCCUUAUAAACAUUCGUGAUCUGGUUUGUGAGAAGGCCAAAACAAGCUUUCUUUCUAAUGAUAAGUCUGAUAAUGUUUAAAAAGGUGUUUUAAUUAGGUGCCAGGUAAAUUAGACUCAUUAGGCUCAAUUUUACAGUGCAGAGCUGCAUAAACAUGAGUCUUUAUUAAAGAAGUCUGAUAAAAAAAAACUAAAAACCUGCACGUUUAGAGACGCGUGCUUUUAAAAGUUUUAGAUUUUAUGAGUUUGAAACAGAUUUUUAAAGAGAUUUGAUGAUUUCUACAGUUUUUAAAUGUUUUAAGAUUUGUUUGCACAUAGAAGGUGAAAAAUAAAAAUCUGGACUGUUAAGGGAUGUAAUUUAAACUCCACAAUCAACCUUUCCAAGAAGACGUUCCCUCCUUUUUCCCUUUUUUGACACUCUUGGAAGGUCAAAGGUCAGGUUUAGCCCCACAUCAGCAGCUCCGUUUUGCUGUUAAAGUCGAAAGGUGAUGCAUCGACCGUAUAAAGUUUGAUUCCUACCUGCUUCAGCUGAAACCUGACGACUCUCCGCUCCUCACGUCUCGUUAUCAUGACUGCACUUUGUGACGCGGCUGAGCAGCGUGUUGAUAAAUGACGCGAUUAGAACUAAAAUGAACAAUUUGACUCGGGCCAACGCCGUCUGAAUCAGGCCCAUCGUUCUGGUGUGAACUCCAGCGGAGUCUGUGUGCGUGUGUGUUGGAUUAUUGGCAGUCACUCCUUCACUGUCACUCUGAGUAAUGUCUGAGGACUGUGCUGCACAUUAUAACUGCGCAGACACUCUGAUGUAUGGAUGAUUAAAGACUGAUGGCUGUGUGUACAGAUACUGUAGGUGAAUGAAGAGAUGUUUCAAACACACUGAGUCGUUUUCUCGUUGAAGAAGAUGGAUGUAAUAAGAAUCUAAUUCAUUGAUCAGUUUCAGAGACCAUGUUUCAUCCUGACGGGAGACACGAAACAAACCUCUGCUCAAGUCGAACAGUGACACUUUAAUAUUGAUGAUGAAAGUGGGAAUAUUUACUUUUGCUUUUGUUGCACUUUUCUAAACAAACUCAAAGUGCAGUUUAUCAUAUCGUGGUAUAAACCCAUUGCAUUGUAUUAAUUAUAUCGUAUCCUGUUGAAAAUAUAUUUUACUGCUCUGAUGGCGCUGCACCACACCACACUAGGUUAUAUCCCUCUGUACGGUGGCCGCGAGCUGCCACUGCUGCAGAUAAAAAAGAAUGCGAAAGCUCACUUCUGUUGUGGCUUUUUUGAUUUGCAACCUUUUAUUUUCGCAGUGAGUAACUUUUUUUUUUUCCAUCGCCCCUUUUUAUUUGUGUCGUUAACUUCCGUUGUGGCUUUUUUUAAUACCUGCACUGUUU
rnacentral:lncRNA from 1 species